UUUUCUUUCCCAGAAAUGCCAAGCUAGCCUAUGAUUGUUCUGCUACUUGACCCACCUGUGUAUGCACAGGUGAUUCUCCUGGCAGUGCUGCUGACCAUUGGAAGUCUCCUCUCAGAGUGUGCUCUCCUGGCACAGAAAAAUAUAGUUCUGUGCAAGUCAUCUUUGCUGAGAGCUUUGGAUGGCUGAGAACCAGCAAUUCUUCCAGAAUCAGUGUUUACCACUUAAUUCUUCCAGUUCAUCUGAGAAAGAGGAGGUAGACCUUUGUGUGAUGCUGUGUGCGGAUGGAGAACUCUGUCAAGAGCAUCUUCCUUCUUCAGGUGUGGUGCAUGCAGGAG